GUGAGUCAUCGAAUCUUUGAACGCACCUUGCGCUCCUUGGUAUUCCGAGGAGCAUGCCUGUUUGAGUGUCAGUUAAUUCUCAACCCCCUUCAGCUUUUUGGCUGAUCUGUGUGGGCUUGGAUGUGGAGGUUUUGCAGGCCCUUUUAGAAAAGGUCAGCUCCUCUGAAAUGCAUUAGCGGAACUGUUUGCAAUCCGUCACAGGUGUGAUAAUUAUCUUCACCCAGUGGGUUGCUCUCUGUGUUCAGCUUCCAACAGUCCAUUUAAUAGGACAGCUCUCUGAACUCUUGACCUCAAAUCAGGUAGGACUACCCGCUGAACUUAAGCAUAUCAAUAAGCGGAGGA
rnacentral:misc_RNA from 1 species